GACAGAGGCCUCAAGCGUUUAGGCGGAAUCACUGGGCUUAAAGCGUGUGUAGGCGGAUCGUUAAGUGUCUUGUGAAAUCCCACGGCUCACCCGUGGAACUGCUGGGCAUACUGGCGAUCUUGGGCCAACUAGGGGCAACUGAAACAAGCGGUGGAGCGGUGAAAUGCGUAGAUAUCGCUUGGAACGCCAAAGGGUGAAAACAGGUUGCUGGGGUUGUGCCGACGCUGAGACA
rnacentral:rRNA from 1 species